CUACGUGCCAGCAGCCGCGGUAAUACGGAAGGUCCGGGCGUUAUCCGGAUUUAUUGGGUUUAAAGGGAGUGUAGGCGGUCUGUUAAGCGUGUUGUGAAAUUUAGGUGCUCAACAUUUAACUUGCAGCGCGAACUGUCAGACUUGAGUACACGCAGCGCAGGCGGAAUUCAUGGUGUAGCGGUGAAAUGCUUAGAUAUCAUGAGGAACUCCGAUCGCGAAGGCAGCCUGCGGGAGUGUUACUGACGCUUAAGCUCGAAGGUGCGGGUAUCGAACAGGAUUAGAUACCCUGGUAGUCCGCACAGUAAACGAUGGAUGCCCGCCGUUGGCGCCCUGCGCCUGCGGCCAAGCGAAAGCAUUAAGCAUCCCACCUGGGGAGUACGCCGGCAACGGUGAAACUCAAAGGAAUUGACGGGGGCCCGCACAAGCGGUGGAGCAUGUGGUUUAAUUCGAAGCAACGCGAAGAACCUUACCAGGUCUUGACAUCCCUCUGACCGCUCUAGAGAUAGAGCUUUC
rnacentral:rRNA from 1 species